rnacentral:rRNA from 1 species
GACGAACGCUGGCGGCGUGCUUAACACAUGCAAGUCGAGCGGUAAGGCCCUUCGGGGUACACGAGCGGCGAACGGGUGAGUAACACGUGAGCAAUCUGCCCUCCACAUCGGGAUAACCCCCGGAAACGGGAGCUAAUACCGGAUACGACCACUUCAGGCAUCUGAUGGUGGUGGAAAGUUCCGGCGGUGGAGGAUGAGCUCGCGGCCUAUCAGCUUGUUGGUGGGGUAACGGCCCACCAAGGCUUCGACGGGUAGCCGGCCUGAGAGGGUGACCGGCCACACUGGGACUGAGACACGGCCCAGACUCCUACGGGAGGCAGCAGUGGGGAAUAUUGGACAAUGGGCGAAAGCCUGAUCCAGCAACGCCGCGUGAGGGAUGACGGCCUUCGGGUUGUAAACCUCUUUCAGCAGGGACGAAGCUUUGUCUUUUUGGGCAAAGUGACGGUACCUGCAGAAGAAGCACCGGCCAACUACGUGCCAGCAGCCGCAGUAACAC